rnacentral:misc_RNA from 1 species
CCGAGUUUACAACUCCCAAACCCCUGUGAACAUACCACUUGUUGCCUCGGCGGAUCAGCCCGCUCCCGGUAAAACGGGACGGCCCGCCAGAGGACCCCCAAACUCUGUUUCUAUAUGUGACUUCUGAGUAAAACCAUAAAUAAAUCA